AUAUCACACUCUAUAGUCUAUAGUGUUUCGCUGACUGGCGGACUGACUAUCCGUUAUCCCCCGAGCAUCGACGUGAUAAAUCAUAGUUAAAUCUCAUUAUUCAUGUAUUCAAUGUACACUUAUAUCCGUAAAACCUUUGCCUAAAGAGAACUAAACCUUUUGAGUGAAUAAACCUAGUGUAGUGAAUAUAAGUGCAAGUGCGGUAUCACACAUGAACAUAGAGUCAAAAUAUUAUAGAACACUAAGACUGUUAAUGAACAUUACCUUUGUUUAAGCUAUUCAUUAGUGUUGUAGAAAAUUAGGUCAACAUAAUAUUACUUAUUAGCCAUAAUUAUUGUAAUGGCUAGAUUGUAAUUCAUGUAAAGUCGCACUCUUUUUUUUACUUUAUUGUAAGAAAAAAAAUAUCCGUAAAACAAAGUAGGUUCGAAAUUUACAUUUAUUGCCAGUUCUCAAAACAAGGGCGUAGAAUGGACGAGCAAUAAACUUUACGUUACUGUUUCGCCAAUAUUUUUUUAUAAAUCAUGUUAUGUUAUUGAUAUAUUUUAGGUACUGGACCAUCUGGAUUUAUUAAAAUAAGUAUCUUCUUGGCUAAGCUUGACGUUGACCACCAGCUUUCUGUAUGAUCAGACUGCAAACGUGAAUGCACAUAGUUAUAAUGAAGAUUUUAUAAUUUAAUUUAACCCGCUAUAUCCUCGCGUAUAAAUCUCGUAGGCCAUGUUUUGUGUCGAAUUUUGUAUUUUAUAUUGUUUUAUUAAAUUGUGUUUAUUUAAAUAGUUAUAUAUUUAAGCGGCAAAAGGUUAAAUUAUGAGCGAUUACAAAAUAAACUUAACAAGGGAGACGAACAAACUAGAAGAAACGCAACCAGAAGCUUCAACAUCACGUGCCAUUGACAAGACAAGCAUGGAAAGUCCUCUACGAGUUAGUUAAUUUUCUCUUAAAAAGAGAGAUGUUUGGUUGACUUCGGCGCAGGCGCACAUAUUUGAAUUAAUUGGUAAAGUCGUAACGUCUUUACUUGAAUCAAACCCAGGACUUAUCUCUUCACACUGUUAAUAAUAUAAUUAGCAUUUUGGUAUUCUAUUAAAGGUCAGAUUAGAAAUUUAAAACUUUAAUAUGUACAUAAAUGUUAAUAUAUUGCUGUACAUUUCAGAAAUAUUUGUUUAUAAUUGUAAUUGUUUUAUUUGUUUAAACGACUUUAUUGUAACUCAACUGCUCUGAUGUAUUUAAUUCCGCCUCUUAAUAAGUAAUUAGUAUUUUUAAGAACACUUCGAGGUCUAAUCUUAGUUAGUUCAUAUAAGAAGUAACAAGAAUCAGUAUGUUUAUAGAAAAGAAAAACAAUGACACGAAAAUCUCCUGCUCCGUGGCGAAUAUUUAUUGAAAAUAUUUUUAAUAAAUGGAAGAUUCUAUCAAAAAAACCGUUUUAUUGGCAGUUGGUAAGAAGUAUCAUCUUUUUCGCUUUGGGCCUGAAAUUGUUUCGAGACAUAAAUUUACAUAAUUGUAUCGACAGUGAUUAGUGAGUACAUAUGUGUAAAAACAAUACAACAUC